UUCUCCUCAAAAUGCCAAACUGGAGUGAACUUGAAGAUUUCAAGACCAAUCAGAACUAAAACCUUCUGCAGAGUUUUUUUAAAUUGACUUGGCUCAAAUGUCUGGAUUUGUAAAACGGCACUGAGAAAGAUGAUAAUACACUGUUGGCAUUUUGGGAAGAGGUGACCAGUCACUUCUGCUGAAAAAUGAUCUGAGCCUGCUUCUACUGAUGUCAAAGCUUGAAUCCCCGGAAAACUUAAAAGCAAGGAGUAGUUGGGUCCUCCUCCUCCUUACUGCUAUCAACUAUUAAUAGAUUAAGCAAUAAAAUUUUCAGGGACUUAAAUUAAAGGAUCUCAUUUAGAUGCUUGUGUCUACUUACAUGCCUAAAAGGUGGAACAGGCUCUGGCUCCAAGUGAUUGGCCAGUGUUAUUCAGGAAGUCUGAGGCCGGGCAGGAGGAAAAUCCAAGGCAGCAUCCUGACCAGUACAAUGUUCUUCCUUCUUCAGAGAUUCAAAGCCUGCAGCAUGCUGAAUGCAGCAGUGGCAGAUGUUAAGCAGCUUUCGUUUGUUCACAGCAGCCACAGAUGUUGGAAAGGUAUGUUGCUGUCCUAGAAAUGCUAGUUUCCCUCCAUUCGUCCUUUUUUUUUGUUUUAAAAUACAGACUGCCAUAAAACAAGCCGAGCUUCAGGGAGGUGUCCCAGUAGAAAUACAGAAAGAAGAGCUUAAGUAUCCCUUCAUGAUGGACUUUUUUUUUUAACUUAAUUAGGCAAGAUGUCAUCACACUACAUUUUACAAAAUACAGAGCCACUGAGGCAAAGUUCAAGGGCUUUGUAUUUUAUAGAUGGGUUUCAUGAGCACUUAGCUGGACACUCAUCCCCUUAAAAGCUAACUUUCCUCCCUCCUUCCCCCCAGUGUAUGGGAGAAUAUAAACAGGACUCAGCCAGAUUAGGAAGCGUGUAGGAAAGUUAGUGUCCUGUGUGAAUUCUUUUGUCGCAACUUGAUCAAAAUUAGCUGGAAUAUCCCAGGAUGUUUUUUUCUGAAGACCCAAGUCAUUCUGCAUCAAGUAGGUGCAGUUUUACUAACAUUCAAUUGUAAGAUGUGUGUAGUGUUAGAUCUAGUUUACUGCCAUUUCUUCAUAAUUUGCCAUUGGUAACUUUCCUCCAGCAGAAGAGGAUCAUUUUAGUACCUUCUGCUGGCUUCCCCAUCUGUUUAACUCUUGUGCUUUAAAAAGUCUCUGCGAAAUGAUGUUGGCUAGCCAGGCAGGGCUUGAUGCAUCGUGCCCUAAGCCAGUCAGUUAACAGGUUCCUAAGACAAGAUGGCUUGGCUCCACAGCUCCUAACCAAAAAUUCAUUGCCCUAUACAAGCAUCCCCCCUCAAAUGCGAUGGGAUGUAAUCCUAUAAAAUAUCCUAUACAAAAAGGGCCACUCUCUUGGUCUACAGACUUGAGAUAUUUAAAACUAGACAUGUACAUGUCACUAAGUAGGAAGGAAAGGGAAAAGCAGAGGAGAAGAACACAUACAGAACACGACAAAGAAAUAAAGAUAUGUUCAAGAAGUGAUGCAACUAAAAUACUGACACAAACACAUACAGAAGAAGCUGGUACCUAUUUAGCACUCGUCAUUAAGACAUUAAAUACUAGACAAACAAAUGUCAGCCAAAGACCAGUUAUCCAUAAAUACCUCCAGCUACUGCCAUGUCAUAGGACAGUUCAAAGAUAGGAGACUAAGCAGUGUGGUCUAUGCAGAAUGUUCUGCUAAACAACCUCCA